GCAACAGCUCAAAUUUGAAAUCUGGCUACAUUUCGUGGUCCGAGUUGUAAUUUGUAGAGGAUGCUUUUGGUGAGGUGCCUUCCGAGUUCCCUGGAACGGGACGCCAUAGAGGGUGAGAGCCCCGUACGGUUGGACACCAAACCUCUGUAUAGCUCCUUCAACGAGUCGAGUAGUUUGGGAAUGCUGCUCUAAAUGGGACCUAUAUCUCUUCUAAAGCUAAAUAUAGGCUAGAGACCGAUAGCGCACAA
rnacentral:rRNA from 1 species